AUUUAUCAAUAAAAAGUGAGCAUUUAAUUUGGAAUGGUCUGAAAUCAAAUAUUUAUACAGAGAAUUUUAUAUAUUUAUAGAAGCAGUGCAUCGCAUCUUUGACAAUCGGACGUUAUCAACAAGCGACCAACAAUUGAAACCAUUGACAACGUCAAUAGUUAUUGCUGAUCGUAAAGGGGAAAAAAUGUGUUCCAAAAUAACCUGUGAAAAAUGCAACAAGCCAACAUGGUCUGGUUGUGGAAAACAUAUUGAACAGGCUUUGAAGGAUGUUCCACCAGAAGAAAGAUGUAAAUGCCCAAGAGAGUCAAAAUAAUGGUUUCUGGCGGAAUAAGGUUGACUGUUAGAGAACUGAAAGCAAGAUAUAGUUAACUUAUAUAUAAAUCUAUGUUUUUCACUGUUAUAGGAAUUUUAAAUAAACAUAAUGCGUUCUUAAUAAUAUUGUUGUUUAUCAA